rnacentral:misc_RNA from 1 species
AACGCACAUUGCGCCCCUUGGUAUUCCGAGGGGCAUGCCUGUUCGAGCGUCAUUACAACCCUCAAGCAAUGCUUGGUGUUGGGCCGCGCCGCUAACCCGGCGGGCCCUAAAACCAGUGGCGGUGCCGUCGGGCUCUGAGCGUAGUAAUUCUUCUCGCUAUAGAGCCCCGGCGGAUGCUAGCCAGCAACCCCCAAUUUUCUAUGGUUGACUUCGGAUCAGGUAGGGAUACCCGCUGAACUUAA